UGGGGCGUCGACAAGUGGUAAGUCAACGGAUUUUGAUUCCGUUUACCGCAGGUUCGAAUCCUGCCGCCCCAA
rnacentral:tRNA from 1 species